rnacentral:rRNA from 1 species
GACGAACGCUGGCGGCGUGCUUAACACAUGCAAGUCGAACGGAAAGGCCCUGCUUGCCGGGUACUCGAGUGGCGAACGGGUGAGUAACACGUGGGUGAUCUGCCCUGCACUUCGGGAUAAGCUUGGGAAACUGGGUCUAAUACCUGAUAGGAGCCAUCUUUAGUGUGGUGGUUGGAAAGUUUUUUCGGUGUAGGAUGAGCUCGCGGCCUAUCAGCUUGUUGGUGGGGUAAUGGCCUACCAAGGCGGCGACGGGUAGCCGGCCUGAGAGGGUGUACGGCCACAUUGGGACUGAGAUACGGCCCAGACUCCUACGGGAGGCAGCAGUGGGGAAUAUUGCACAAUGGGCGCAAGCCUGAUGCAGCGACGCCGCGUGGGGGAUGAAGGCCUUCGGGUUGUAAACUCCUUUCGCUAGGGACGAAGCUUUGUUGUGACGGUACCUAGAGAAGAAGCACCGGCUAACUACGUG